AUUUAUAUAGUUUAAACAAAACAUUACAUUUUCACUGUAAAAAUAAAAAUUUACUUUUUUAUAAAUA
rnacentral:tRNA from 1 species